CGGAGGGGCGGUGCUUGUGGCGGCGUGAGGGGUUCGGCUGCCUUGUCAGCCUGAGGUGGUCUGCUGCUGCAUGUGGUCUCUCCUCUCGCUGCUGCGUCCCCUUGGCCUGCGCACCAUGUCGCAGGGUUCGGCUCGCCGGCCGCGGCCGCCCAAAGACCCACUGCGACACCUGCGCACGCGGGAGAAGCGCGGCCCUGGCUGGGGGCCCGGGGGCCCGAACACCGUGUACCUGCAGGUGGUGGCGGCGGGCGGCCGGGAUGCGGGCGCUGCUCUCUACGUCUUCUCGGAGUACAACAGGUACCUUUUUAACUGCGGAGAAGGCGUCCAACGACUUAUGCAGGAACACAAACUGAAAGUCGCUCGCUUGGACAACAUAUUUCUGACUCGGAUGCAUUGGUCAAAUGUUGGGGGAUUGUGUGGAAUGAUUUUAACUUUAAAGGAAACUGGGCUUCCCAAAUGUGUUCUGUCUGGACCACCACAACUGGAGAAAUAUCUGGAAGCAAUCAAAGUAUUUUCCGGUCCAUUGAAAGGAAUAGAACUGGCCGUGCGGCCUCACUCUGCACCAGAAUACAAGGAUGAGACCAUGACUGUUUACCAGGUCCCUAUCCACAGUGAUGAAAAGGGGUGUGGAAAGCAACAGCCAUCUCAGAGCCCCAAAAGACAUCCCAACAGGCUCAGUCCCAGACAAUCAUUGGAUUCUGGAGCAGCUGAAAAUGGGCAGUGCCCUCCAGAGGGCAGCAGUGCAGAUGUCAACUGGAAAGCAUGGGGCAGGGACCCCUCCCUAGUGGUAGCUUUUGUCUGCAAGCUUCACCUAAGGAAAGGAAACUUCUUGGUGCUUAAAGCAAAGGAGCUGGGCCUUCCUGUUGGGACGGCCGCCAUUGCACCCAUCAUUGCUGCUGUCAAGGAUGGGAAGAAUAUCACUUAUGAAGGAAGGGAGAUUGCUGCUGAAGAGCUUUGUACACCCCCAGAUCCAGGUCUUGUAUUCAUUGUGGUAGAGUGUCCCGAUGAAGGAUUCAUCCUGCCCAUCUGUGAGAAUGACACUUUUAAAAGGUACCAGGGAGAAGCUGAUGCACCUGUGGCGCUGGUGGUCCACAUAGCCCCAGAGUCUGUGCUCAUCAACAGCAGGUACCAGCAGUGGAUGGAGAGGUUCGGGCCUGACACACAGCACCUGAUUUUGAAUGAGAAUUGUCCCUCGGUCCACAACCUGCGCAGCCACAAGAUUCAGACCCAGCUCAGCCUCAUCCACCCCGACAUCUUCCCCCAGCUCACCAGCUUCUAUAGUAAGGAGGAAGGUUCUGCCUUCAACACGCGGACCGUUCGGGGUCAAUGCCUCCUCAAGUAUCAGCUCCGCCCCAGGAGAGAGUGGCAGAGGGAUGCCACACUCGACUGCAAUACUGAUGAAUUCAUAGCUGAGGCCCUGGAGCUCCCCAGUUUCCAGGAGAGUGUGGAGGAGUACAGGAAGAACAUGCAGGAAAGCCCAGCCCCAGCAGAGAAAAGAAGCCAGUAUCCUGAAAUUGUCUUCCUGGGCACGGGGUCUGCCAUCCCAAUGAAGAUCCGAAAUGUCAGUUCCACACUCGUCAACCUAAGCCCUGACAAGUCUGUGCUGCUGGAUUGUGGAGAAGGCACUUUUGGGCAGUUGUGCCGGCAUUAUGGACAGCAAAUAGACAGAGUCUUAUGCAACCUCACUGCUGUGUUUGUGUCCCAUCUGCAUGCGGACCACCACACGGGCUUGCUGAAUAUCUUGCUGCAGAGAGAGCAUGCGUUGGCGUCUCUGGGGAAACCUUUCCAGCCCUUGCUAGUGGUGGCCCCUACCCAGCUCAGGGCCUGGCUGCAGCAAUAUCACAACCAGUGCCAGGAGAUUCUGCACCACAUCAGUAUGAUUCCUGCCAAAUGUCUUCAGAAAGGGGCAGAGGUCUCCAAUCCCCCAGUGGAGAGGCUGAUCAGCUUGCUGUUGGAAACUUGUGACUUAGAAGAAUUUCAGACCUGCCUGGUACGGCACUGCAAGCAUGCUUUUGGCUGUGCGCUGGUACAUUCAUCUGGCUGGAAAGUUGUCUACUCAGGGGAUACCAUGCCCUGUGAGGCUCUGGUCCAGAUGGGGAAAGAUGCUACCCUCUUAAUACAUGAAGCCACUCUGGAGGAUGGCAUGGAAGAGGAAGCAGUAGAGAAGACACACAGCACCACCUCCCAGGCUAUUAAUGUGGGGAUGCGAAUGAAUGCUGGGUUCAUCAUGCUGAACCACUUCAGUCAGCGGUACGCCAAGAUCCCCCUUUUCAGCCCUGACUUCAACGAGAAAGUUGGCAUCGCCUUUGACCACAUGAAGGUCUGCUUUGGAGACUUCCCGACAGUGCCCAAACUGAUUCCCCCACUGAAGGCCCUGUUUGCAGAUGACAUUGAAGAGAUGGUGGAACGCAGGGAGAAGAGGGAGCUGCGGCUGGUGCGAGCAGCCCUCCUGACCCAGCAGGCAAACAGCCCAGAGGACAGAGAACCCAAACAGAAGCGAGCCCACACAGAGGAACCACACAGCCCACAGAGCAAGAAGGUCAGAGCCCAGUGAAGGCCUAAACCAUCCUGGACUGAAGGCUGUGUUCUCUGCCCUGUGUGGAAGCCACAUCUGUCAUCUUGGUGGGAGCCAGCGCACACAACUAGCCAGGAGGCAGCAUGGAAUCAGAGUAUGCAGUCCUCCGUGGCCAUGGCUGGGGGAGCACCCAUCUUUCAGGUGCCUCCGACUCCUGGAGGAGAACACAGUGGCAGGACAGGAGACUACACAGUCGAAGACAGCAAGCCAGUCUUAAAAGAAGUCAUGGAAAUUGAGGAGAGCGUGGGAAGCACUUUAGAAACGCCAGUGUGAGACAGCAAGGACUUGGCCUUCCCUGGUGGCAACCUUCAGACUUCCGCAUGGGACAGCACAGGAUGUUGGUACUGCCUUGCAGCCUUCACUGAAACAAGACCAUGUGCCAAGCUCAGGGUUAAUAAAUCUAUUUUAAUAACA